AUGAAGGAUGAAGCUAAUGAGGUUGUGGAGGCGAUUGCCAAGAAGAUUGUCCAAGACAUGCCCUAUGAGGCGCGCGUUGAUGCUGUGGUGAAGUAUUUCGCGCACGAACGCAAAAUGCUUCUCAAAAAGUCUCUAGCCCGGAGAGUGCAUCUCAUCCGUUCCAUGUACAUGAAGGCGGUUCCCUCGUGGUGCAACAACAAUGUUCCUUGCUACCAGCAAAUCAUAUCCAAAUGGAUAGACCCGAAGUGGAGGGCCCAACAUCGAAUGGCUUCGGAGCGGCGUGCCUUGAUGGGUGGUCCGGUAAACCUUCAAGGCAACCUCAACCUCCACGCUUACGUGCAGAAGAAGAGUAGGGAGAGAGGUGAGGGCCAAGAGAAGCUCAAUACCUUCACGGGAUUAUGUCUCUCCCGCAAGUCAAAGAAGCCGGAAGGGGGGUGGGUCAACCCAGGCGCUGGCUUGAGGAUUGAUGCAUACAGUGGGAAGUUCAAGGAGCACAACGGGCCUGACUCCGAUCCGGCCUCACAGGACAUUGACGCUACAAUUUCCCUCCAGUUGGAAGACGGCAAGAAGGGUGGUCGGUUAUAUGUUGGCGACGGUGCCAUCCGUAAGAAGGACAUCCCAAAACUCUCUCACCUCCGUGCUACCACGUCGAGCUCAGGUCCUGCUAUAGAGCUUCGCCCACAGCCUGGGCUGCACAUGCUCCAUCAACUCGAGGCCAAUGCCAGGCUUCGAGAGGAGGAAGCCAUGAAAAUGCAGCAGGCCCUGUUUCAACAGCAAGAAUUCAUGGUUAAACAACAGGCAAUCCUGCAGGAGACAUUUGCUCAACUCAGAAAUAAUAUGCAGGGUUCCACUUUGCCCGUUCUUCCUCCUCUUCCGACUCUUCCUAAUUUCAACUUUUUUUCUCAGUCGGGACAAGGCUCCAAUAACUGUGUGGUAGGUGGAUCUUCACCUGGCCAAACAAGUCCAGUGACACCCAUUACGGUUCAUGUCUCUUCGACCUCCCCGCAACAAUGA
rnacentral:rRNA from 1 species